rnacentral:tRNA from 1 species
CGGGGGAUGGCUGAGUGGUCGAAAGCGGCGGUCUUGAAAACCGUUGAGGGUAACACCUCCCAGGGUUCGAAUCCCUGUCCCCCGGCCA